ACCUGAACACACACAAUAGCGAGUCAGCUAAACAAGUGAUGUUUAUUGGUCGUCCAUACGGCAGGCAUUUCUUGAAAUUUGGGUUCCAAAUUUUUCUCGAGCUGACCUGAAAACGAGCUGCAGCAUGACGUCCUCACAAAAGAGACCGAUGAGCGUCCUGAACAGGGACAGCGACACCGUGCCGAGCUGAGGAGCACCAAGACCAGGUCAUCACUUUGUUUUGGAUCUGCUUUCAACGGUAUGUCCGGGGGGGGGACGUUACCUGGAAAGGUGUGUUGACUCUGCUGACCAGCGUGUCAAGGAUGUGUACGUUAUCGUGGGCGUGCAGCAGGAUGAAGGACAGGAAGGUCUGCAGGAGCGCAGGCUCAGAAAUGGAGCGCAGGAACAGGUCCAAGGCAGGAGCCAACACCGGCACCAGGAACCCAUUGUGGAUGUAACUCAGCAGCUGGGAACGGAUGGAAGGAUGCGUCACCUAGGAGAAGUUGUCAUGGUUACCUGUUGCCAGUCGGGCUGAUCUAGGCAGUGCCAGUCUUCACUGUAAACCUGCAACCUGGCCGGCAGAGAGGAGUAGAGGCCAGAGAGACCUGUGGCCAGAACCUGCACCCAGAACCUGGUAUUUAGUACUGUCACUGCUAAAUUACUGGCAAUAUUAUUCAAAAUGAAGAC